GAUGAAGAACGCAGCGAAAUGCGAUAAGUAAUGUGAAUUGCAGAAUUCAGUGAAUCAUCGAAUCUUUGAACGCACAUUGCGCCCCUUGGUAUUCCGAGGGGCAUGCCUGUUCGAGCGUCAUUAUAACCCCUCAAGCUCAGCUUGGUGUUGGGGCCUGCUGCACUGGCAGCCCUUAAAAUCAGUGGCGGCGCCAUCUGGCUCUAAGCGUAGUAAUUCUUCUCGCUAUGGAGGCCUGGUGGAUGCUUGCCAUCAACCCCCAAUUUUUCUAUGGUUGACCUCGGAUCAGGUAGGGAUACCCGCUGAACUUAAGCAUAUCAAUAAGCGGAGGA
rnacentral:misc_RNA from 1 species